GACGAACGCUGGCGGCGUGCUUAACACAUGCAAGCCGAGCGAUGAAGUUUCUUCGGAAAUGGAUUAGCGGCGAACGGGUGAGGAACACGUGAAGAAUCUGCCCUCCACUUUGGGAUAACACCGGGAAACCGGUGCUAAUACCGAAUAUUGAAACAUAAGUGGCAUCACUGAGUUUUGAAAGAAUUUCGGUGGAGGAUGACUUCGCGGCCUAGCAGCUAGUUGGUGAGGUAAUGGCUCACCAAGGCAACGACGGGUAGCCGGCCUGAGAGGGCCACCGGCCACACUGGGACUGAGACACGGCCCAGACUCCUACGGGAGGCAGCAGUGGGGAAUAUUGGGCAAUGGAGGAAACUCUGACCCAGCGACGCCGCGUGCGGGAUGAAGGCCUUCGGGUUGUAAACCGCUUUCAGUAGGGAAGAAGCGAAAGUGACGGUACCUACAAAAGAAGCACCGGCUAACUAUGUGCCAGCAGCCGCGGUAA
rnacentral:rRNA from 1 species